rnacentral:lncRNA from 1 species
UUAUUUUCUAAAGUUUGACAACUCGAUAAAGACUCAUUCUUUAUCUCCAUAUGAUUGUGUCUAUAAAAGGAGAACUGAUUAUGAACUAUAUGAGUUUUAUCUUAGUGUCGAAAUUACCCACAUGAAUGUGAGGCAAUACGACUUUAGAACAACAUCCUUAACAUGACUUCUUAAGACUCGCGUACUAAAUCUUUUUAAUGUUUAUGUUAUAUUGAGUUAUAUGUUCGAGGUUUAAGCCCUAUUCUUCAAAAAAAAAUUUCAAAACUCAUUUUCAACCGUACAAUCUUCAAUAAAAUAAUAUUACAUGUAAAUUCAAAAUAUUUACUUAAUUUUUAAUCACAUAUUCUCCAUCAAUCUAUUAUUCAAAAUGCAUUAUUUCCCUCAAAGUGGGCUCAAACAAGAUUUUAUUGUUGAAUUAUAUUGUUUAUACUUGUUAUGUUAAUCAAUAAUCUACACACAAAUCACUCAUUUUUUCCAACAAUCUAAAUCGUGUUUGGUGAUUUGUAUGUAGAUAAUUCUUGAUAGGUAAACUCAUUAUAUAUGAAAUAAUGAAGUUCGAUCUAACUAACACCUAGAAGGGGGUGAAUAUGUAUUUGAUGUGAAAUUAAAACUUAUUCAUUAAUAAAAGCAACAAGUAACCAUUAUUAACUAAUCCUGAUGAAUUCACAUGCAAGCCUAAUCUAUGUUGAAUUACCGUAGUUAAUAAAUUGCUUAAACAUAAAUAACUCCAGAAAAUUGAUGACGAAGAAAAACCCCUCGUGGGGAUAAAAAUUCUAUGCCCAAGCCAAUAAGAAUCUAUUAGAAACGAAUCAACUUAUACUAUUGUCAGCCUCGAUUAACUCUAGUACUUUCUGGUCUCCUGACUGUAAUCAUCAAAGCCAUCCUAGAUUGCAUGCUCCUGCACCAACUGUCGCUUUUUUGAAUUCGUCUAUCUCAUAUGGAUCACCAAGAACUCUUCGUUCUCCUUCAAUGGAAACCUGGUCACCUUCCUUGAACUUUAGAACUCUGACAGAUUAUGUAGAAGAAUGUAUUUUGGUGUUUUGAUUGUGUGGAUUUGAUUUUUUCAAUUAUACGGCUAAAUCAAAAGAAGAUUUAACUGUUUUGCCACGCGUUUUAUAUAACGUGAUUUUAUACCGCA